rnacentral:misc_RNA from 1 species
AGAGCAUAUUGAACAGUGGUGUACUGAGGAUAAAGCUCCCCAGGAAGAUGGGUCUCAGAGAUCAUGGCAUAAUGAGGAGGGAAAUGGCAUCGUUGGUAGCAAAAAGGGCAGAUCCAAAUCUUAGCGGUAAAGUCCACACGGGAAAAUGGGUUGAGAACGGCGGAGCAAGACUUGCAACGGAGCGGUGCAUAAGGAAGAGUAGGGAUCUCAGGAUGAUGACGGAUCGGAGCGAUCGAAGCAGCGAGUGGAACAACGCACUUGCUGGCUUCAACCUUGGU